rnacentral:rRNA from 1 species
GCCCAGCCGUAAACUUUUUCUUACACCUAAUCGCCAGGGAACUACGAGCAAAGCUUAAAACCCAAAGGACUUGACGGUACCCUACAUCCCUCUAGAGGAGCCUGUCCUGUAAUCGAUAAUCCACGUUUAACCCUACCAUUUUUUGCCAAUUCAGCCUGUAUACCUCCGUCGUCAGCUUACCACGUGAGCGCUGAUUAGUGGGCCUAAUGUCAACUUCACCAAUACGUCAGGUCAAGGUGCAGCAAACAAAAUGGGUAGAGAUGGGCUACACUUUCUAACAUAGAAGAGACGAAAAACUACCUAUGAAAAACAGUUGGAAGGCGGAUUUAGCAGUAAAAAGGAGUUAGCACAUCCUUUUUAAUCACGGUUCUAGGGUGUGU